ensembl:lncRNA
AUGCUGAUCACUGCCAGUCUGUUGAUGCUGUGGUGGUACUCCACUAGGGUGAAAAAUAAUUCACCAGAUACAGUUAAAGAGGAGGACACCAAACAACAACAAAUCUCCAGAAAGACAACCAAGAGUCAACUGGAGUGGCAUUUCACAGAAGGAUCUGAGACUCCCACUACCUCUGCAUCUGACACAGUCUCUGAGACUGACAUUGUGCCUGAGACUAUUAUUGUCCCUAAGACUGAAAUUGUGCCUGAGACUGGGACUGUCCCUGAGAAUCCCAUUGACCCUGAGACUAACACUGUCUCUGAGACUGUUAUCGUCCCUGAGACUGACAUUGAACCUGAGACUGACAUUGUGCCUGAGACUGUUAUUGUCCCUGAGACUGAAAUUGUGCCUCAGACUGGGACUGUCCCUGAGACUAACACUGUCUCUGAGACUGUUAUCGUCCCUGAGACUGACAUUGAACCUGAGACUGACAUUGUGCCUGAGACUGUUAUUGUCCCUGAGACUGACAUUGUGCCUGAGACUGGGACUGUCCCUGAGAAUCCCAUCGUCCCUCAGACUAACACUGUCUCUGAGACUGAGAUUGAACCGGAGACUGAAAUUGUCCCUGAGACUGUCAUUGUCUCUGAGACUGACAUUGUCCCUGAGACUGACACUGCCUCAGAGAUAACACUGCCCUUGACACUGACACUGCCUCUGAGACUUUCACUGCCUAUAACACUCACACAGCCUCUCAAACUGAACCUCCCUCUGAAACUGGCCCUGCGUCUGAGAAUGACAAUUCCACUGAAGGUGACACUGCCUGUCAGACUAACACUGCCCCUCAGAAUGAGCCUGCCUCUCAAAUUGAGACUGCCUCAUAGACUGGCACUGCAUCUCAGACUGACAGUGCCUUUCAAACUGAUAGUACAUUUCAGACUGGCACUGCCUCAAAGACAACACUGCCUCAUAACUUCCACCGCCUCGAAGACUGACACUGCAUCGGAGCCUACCUCUGCCUCUGAGACUGACACUACCUCAGAGACUGACCAUACCUCAGAGACUGACACUACCUCUGAAGCUCCCACUGUCUCUGAGUCUGACUUUGAAAAUCAGAUGGCUGCUGCUUCUCAAUGGAUCUGA